rnacentral:tRNA from 1 species
GGCCGCCUGGCGUAAUGGCAACGCGUCUGACUACGAAAACACAUGACCCAGCAUCGCUGGGUCGGGUGCCACGCAAUCAGGAGAUUGCAGGUUCGACCCCUGCGGUGGUCA